rnacentral:rRNA from 1 species
GGUAACCUGCCCAUCAGAAGGGGAUAACACUUGGAAACAGGUGCUAAUACCGUAUAACACUAUUUUCCGCAUGGAAGAAAGUUGAAAGGCGCUUUUGCGUCACUGAUGGAUGGACCCGCGGUGCAUUAGCUAGUUGGUGAGGUAACGGCUCACCAAGGCCACGAUGCAUAGCCGACCUGAGAGGGUGAUCGGCCACACUGGGACUGAGACACGGCCCAGACUCCUACGGGAGGCAGCAGUAGGGAAUCUUCGGCAAUGGACGAAAGUCUGACCGAGCAACGCCGCGUGAGUAAAGAAGGUUUUCGGAUCGUAAAACUCUGUUGUUAGAGAAGAACAAGGAUGAGAGUAGAACGUUCAUCCCUUGACGGUAUCUAACCAGAAAGCCACGGCUAACUACGUGCCAGCAGCCGCGGUAAUACGUAGGUGGCAAGCGUUGUCCGGAUUUAUUGGGCGUAAAGCGAGCGCAGGCGGUUUCUUAAGUCUGAUGUGAAAGCCCCCGGCUCAACCGGGGAGGGUCAUUGGAAACUGGGAGACUUGAGUGCAGAAGAGGAGAGUGGAAUUCCAUGUGUAGCGGUGGGAUGCGUAGAUAUAUGGGGGAACACCAGUGGCGAAGGCGGCUCUCUGGUCUGUAACUGACGCUGAGGCUCGAAAGCGUGGGGAGCGAACAGGAUUAGAUACCCUGGUAGUCCACGCCGUAAAC